ACUAGUUGCCUGGGAGAAGAGGCCAAUCCCCAUCUCCUACAAUCUCCUUUCAGGUCUGUCACUAUGACCUUGUGUCACCCCAAUAUGGCCCAGCACUGCGAGAACUGGGAUAAAUCAACACGGAUUAUGGACUUGAAAGUACCAUGAGGAAUGCUGUAACAGCACCAUGGCAGCAUGGCUAAAAAGCGCGGGAAGCUGGAUUUGUGUCAAGACAGAUCAGCCAGACAAGCCUCAUUUCUUACUUUUUAAAUCCCCCUUUAGGUACAGGAAGGCUGCUCUAAGGUGAACCCAGAGACAUCUCUUCUCCAGGCGGAACAAGCCCAAAUCUCUCAAGCACCACAUAUCUUCAGUGAUGAAGUGCCUGUCGUGGAAGACAAAGAAUAACAUCCAGGAGAGGGGCAAACCACCCACAGCAUCCAUUGCCUCCAGCUUGGAUUGAGAGGCUUGAAUUGAAACUUGGAAAUCAGAUUCCAGCACUGGGGCACUUCUGAUGGCUGCAUGGGGCCAAGGUUUCAUCUGUGGGAUCAGAGCAGGAGCAUUGUGAAAAUAAAUAAUAAACAAUAGUGACCAAAA